rnacentral:rRNA from 1 species
GAGUCAUUGGGACUCUAUUAAACCUAAAGGCGCAGUGAAAGUAAAGGUCGGCCUCGAGCAGACCGAGGGAGGAUGGGCCCGCGAACUUAGGCGGGCCCCGCACUCCCGGGGCGUCUCGUUCUCAUCGCGAGAGGAGGCGCACCCAGAGCGUACACGCUGGGACCCGAAAGAUGGUGAACUAUGCCUGGUCAGGACGAAGUCAGGGGAAACCCUGAUGGAGGUCCGUAGCGAUUCUGACGUGCAAAUCGAUCGUCGGAACUGGGUAUAGGGGCGAAAGACUAAUCGAACCUUCUAGUAGCUGGUUCCCUCCGAAGUUUCCCUCAGGAUAGCUGGCGCUCGCCUUUGCGAGUCUCAUUCGGUAAAGCGAAUGAUUAGAGGCAUUGGGGUCGAAACGGCCUCAACCUAUUCUCAAACUUUAAAUGGGUGAGAUCUCCGGCUUGCUUAAAGCAUGAAGCCGCGAGAUACGGAUCAGAGAGUGCCAAGUGGGCCAUUUUUGGUAAGCAGAACUGGCGCUGUGGGAUGAACCAAACGCAGAGUUAAAGCGCCAAAAUUGACGCUUAUGGGAUACCAUGAAAGGCGUUGGUAA